rnacentral:rRNA from 1 species
GAGUUUGAUCGUGGCUCAGGAUGAACGCUGGCGGCGUGCUUAACACAUGCAAGUCGAACGAAGCACUUUGAUCGAUUUCUUCGGAUUGAAAUUUUAGUGACUGAGUGGCGGACGGGUGAGUAACGCGUGGGUAACCUGCCUCACACAGGGGGAUAACAGUUGGAAACGGCUGCUAAUACCGCAUAAGCGUACAGUACCGCAUGGUACAGUGUGAAAAAACUCCGGUGGUGUGAGAUGGACCCCGCGU